UUACGUAGGCCAUUAUGAUCGCGCGCAAAGUUAGGACGAAUGACAACAUUUUCAAUCGAUAUUCAUUGAUUUUUCUUUAAAUAAAUCCCCUUUUACAUGUCAUGGACAUAAGGCUGUCAGUGUCUGUAUGGAAGAGAAGAUCUGAGUUUUAAUGGAGAGCUUGCGUUGUGACACCUGUGGCACUGCUCAGGCAUGCCAAACUUCUGUGACAGAGUGUGACCGCGUUCACCAAUGAGGAUUUUUAUUCCGUCUGCUUCCUGCUGCUUUGAUUGGCUCAUUUUCAUGCCAGCUGCAUUCUGGGAGGAGUUGGUCAGUACACCUGCAGUUCAUCUCCAGGCCACUUGAUGGCACUGUGAGCUCACUGAAGUCACACCGCGAGGCUGGAACAGCACAAGUGCUUUUUUAAAAUAUGAAAGGUGUCACAUAAACCACUACUUGGCAUGUAGUUUUUCAUUUGAGAUAUAUAUUUUUAAUUUCACUUGUUUUUGCUUUGCAAGUUUUGCAAGUACAAAGACUUUACAUUGUGUGAACUGACCCGUGAGAAUGGGAAAAGGUAGGAAAGGACUUUCUCAUGUUGGAGACAGUGCGAUUGCAUAUAUUCUGAGAAACAAACCAGAGAGAGGAACAAAGAAACACCCAAAAAGAGGCUAAAAAAGUUCAUAAUGCAUCAGUGGUACGGGUGGCUGCCAUUUGGUUGCUAUGUGGUUGCUAGGGCGUUUUGGGUGGUUACCUAUAGGCCCAAAUCACAAGAGCCCAAUGUUUUUAUACCAAACUGCUCAGUAGAUAUGAUUGUAAAUCUAUGGGAUUUUUUAGGGAUGCAUGAUAUGUUGAUACUAUAUCGCUCAUUAUGCAAUUAUUCAAUCCAGUAAUUGACAGUGCUUUAAAUCAUAUUACAUUUGUAAAUAGUAAA